GUAGGAAUCUACCUUAUAGUGGGGAAUAGGCUGCCGAAAGGCAGUUUAAUACCGCAUAAUCCCUCAGGGGGAAAGGCAUUUAUGUCGCUAUUAGAGGAGCCUGCGGACCAUCAGUUUGUUGGUAGGGUAACGGCCUACCAAGACUACGACGGUUAGGGGACAUGAGAGUGUGUACCCCCAGAAUGGUACUGAGACACGGAC
rnacentral:rRNA from 1 species